ensembl:snRNA U4 U4 spliceosomal RNA
AGCUUUGCGCAGUGGCAGUAUCGUAGCCAAUGAGGUUCAUCCGAGGCACAAUUAUUGCUAAGUGAAAACUUUUCCCAAAAUUCACCUGAAGAACAGGCCAAUUUGACAUGGGCUUUUUUAAAAAAAAAUAAA